CUACGGGUGGCUGCAGUAAGGAAUAUUGGUCAAUGGAGGAAACUCUGAACCAGCCAUCCCGCGUGAAGGAUGAAGGGGCUCUGCCUUGUAAACUUCUUUUGUCUGGGGCGAAAAAGCUCGAUUUAUCGAGAACUGACGGUACCAGAAGAAUAAGCACCGGCUAACUCCGUGCCAGCAGCCGCGGUAAUACGGAGGGUGCAAGCGAUAACCUGAAUCACUGGGUGCGAAGGGGGCUUAGUCGGCCUGGGGUGAAAGGCUGUGGCUUAACCAUGGAAUUGCCAUUGAUACUGCAGAGCUUGAAUGAGGUUGAGGUUGGCGGAAUGUGACAUGUAGCGGUGAAAUGCUUAGAUAUGUCAUGGAACACCGAUUGCGAAGGCAGCUGACUGGACCUAUAUUGACGCUGAGGCACGAAAGCGUGGGGAGCGAACAGGAUUAGAUACCCCUGUAGUC
rnacentral:rRNA from 1 species